rnacentral:lncRNA from 1 species
GAGGAAAAAUCGCAAAGCCAAAAGCUUCAUCGAUUAGAAAUUUUGAGGUAGGAAAACUUUUUACAUAUGGGUGUUUAGGCAGUCGAAUAGUGAGGGAUCUUUACCCUCCUAUAUUCUUCUUCCCCUUCCGUGUUUGUGAUUGUUGUGUUUGUGGUCAAAAAUGGUUUGAGUAAAAUCCUUUGAGGCAUCGAAAGAUAUGUUUCUCUUAUUCUUUAUCAAUAUGUUAUAAAAUUGUAUAGUUAUUGUUAUUUGAAUCUAUGUUGAUGAAUCGUUGAAAAAUCAUAAAAUUCAAAUCCCCUCAGGUUUCGUUAUGUAUCAUGCGUAUUUUAAGCCUCGUGAACUAUGUUUUAUUGAAGUUUGUAUAUAAUGUAUUUGAGAUUACACUAUGUUGAUGAAUCGUUGAAAAAUCAUAAAAUUCAAAUCCCCUCAGGUUUCGUUAUGUAUCAUGCGUAUUUUAAGCCUCGUGAACUAUGUUUUAUUGAAGUUUGUAUAUAAUGUAUUUGAGAUUACGUGGUUGAGAAUUGAGAUUUAGAGGAUGUUAUGUUAUUUACUUUUGAAAUUGUUUAUGUAUUGUAAUUUAAAUAAGAUAAAAAAAUUAUAAUAAUAAUGAUAAUAAUAAUAAUUUAAUAUUAUUAAUUAUAAUUAUUUAAUAUUAUAUUUCUGAGCAAAUAUAAAUAAUUUAUUACUCGAUUGAUGUGUUUUAAGUAUUUUUCUGAAUUGAUGAAUAAUUUGAGUUACUGAUAAUAAUAUAAUUUUGAUAUGGUGUGAUUAUUUGUGAUUAUUAUAUAAAUAAUUGAGAUGUAAAUUUUGAGAUGAGUAAUUAAUAGAGGAAUUACGGUGUUGGUCUUAUAUUGACGAAAUUAUUAUUCAGAGAUAUAUCUUUUGAGUGUGAGUUUUUAGUAUGUUUUUCUAUUGUUUUAAGCUUUAUGAUUUUGUUGUCAUGUUCAUGCAUACAUUUAUAUUGGAGUUAGGUAGGACUUCGGUCCAUUAAGGUCAAGUUCAGAGAUAGAACCAAUAGUAUAGUCUCUGCUUUCAGAGACGGAACCAGAAGACAAGGAUACACCACGUAAUUACAUUCUUUGAUAUCUCAAAACCACUAGUUCCACACAUGCAUAUGUGGAGGAGGAGUAUGAGCUGCAUUAUGCAUUUGCAUUUAUAAUUAUUGUUAUUGUUUUAAUUGUAUGUUGGCAAAUGAUAUUAGAUAUUUUCGGUAACUAUCCUGCUGCUUAAUUUCACCAUUAACAUUUGUAAAGUUAUUCUCACCCCUUUUUCGUUGUUGUGUGGCUCAUGUUGCAGAUACAUGUAGCGAGCAGUAGCUAUUGAGUUGGGGAAUGGAGCUUGUAGCCUUCUUCUUUAUUUAUAUUUCAUUUAGUUUCGUAGUAUCGCUCUAAUCUGUAACAUUGAGACAAAAUUUGUGUUGAUUUCGGUUUUGUUUUUGUGACAUGUUUUUGUGGCACUAUUUCCCUUAUGUUUGAGUUUUAAACUACUUUAUUUUGAGAUACUCAAUUAAUUGUGUUUUGAAAGUUAU